rnacentral:tRNA from 1 species
AGUUCUAUGGUGGUGUGUUUUUAGCAUUCUGGUCUUUGAAUCCAGUGAUCUGAGUUAAAGUCUCAGUAGGACUU